rnacentral:miRNA from 1 species
CCGCAAUGUGAGCACUUCUGUC